rnacentral:lncRNA from 1 species
AAUCCAAACUUUUAAUCAAAAUUUUUAUUACUUACAAUCUAUUCAGUACAACAUACUAUUAUUAUUAAGCCAUAAUUAUACACUUAAUAAUUUUGAUGCUAUUCAUUUUGAGUAUAUUCAAAUAAUAAAAAACAAAUUUACUUUAUUUUUUUUUAGAAAAAAUGAAAUUAAUUUAAACAAAAAUAUACAAACGAAUGUUAUAUGUACAUACAAAAAUAUAUUACAAAAACACUUGUCAUAUUUUACAUGUGCAAAUUCAAUCACUUUUAAAAAUCAAAAAAGAAAACAAUUCUUAAAUUUAUAUACACACAAACAUGUAGAAAAAUAUUUAGUUGCUUAUAUACAAUCGGUGAUUAAAAAAUAUAAAAAAUUGAAAUUGUUUAAAACCAUAAAUAAGUGUUUAAUUCGCAUUCAAGCGGAAGAAGCCAUUUUAAAAAAUAUUGAUAUCAUGGUCAUGAAAUACCUAAAAAAUCUAUCAACUGAUUUUCAAAUCCUAAGCUACGCUCUACGUUUAACUAGGGAUAAGUUAUUGCCCCACUGGUUUAAAAAUGAAAAGUUAAAAGAUGUGUUUGGUCUGGAUAUACAGCCUCUUGUGGAAUGCCCCAUAUCAACAUUGAACUAUAACAUAACAUAUAAACAUGUUGUAAUGAAAUAUUUUCAUAAAUUUUAUCAAAUACAAAAUAUAAUUUUAAAUUCAAAACACUUCAUUUAAGCAUUUUGUUUUAACCUUACAUCACCGUUUUAUUAACAUAAAAAAUAAAAAUGUAGAAAAUAAAAAUGUAGAAAAUAAA